UGGACCAGUGAUGAUGACCUGCUGGUGUAUGACUCAUGGAUGAUGAAUAAUGAGUGUGGAACACUGAGGGCCAA